rnacentral:rRNA from 1 species
UACGAAGGGGGCUAGCGUUGUUCGGAAUUACUGGGCGAAAGCGCGUGUAGGCGGGUCUUUUAAGUCAGGGGUGAAAUGCCAAGGCUCAACCUUGGAACUGCCUUUGAUACUGGAGACCUUGAGUCCGGGAGAGGUGAGUGGAACUCCGAGUGUAGAGGUGGAAUUCGUAGAUAUUAGGAAGAACACCAGUGGCGAAGGCGGCUCACUGGUCCGGUACUGACGCUGAGGUGCGAAAGCGUGGGGAGCAAACAGG